GGGGUAUUUGGGAGGAAGCUGGGGGGCUGGAGGCAGAUCUGGGGGGCUGGAGUAUUUGGGGAAGCUGGGGGCUGGAGGCAGAUCUGGAGGCUGGGGUGUUUGGAGGUGACUGGAGUUUGGGAGAGAUGAUGCAGAGGGGGAACCUGUUCCUUUCAAGGGGCAUGGUCUGUGGGU